rnacentral:rRNA from 1 species
AAUGGCUCAUUAAAUCAGUUAUCGUUUAUUUGAUAGUUCCUUUACUACAUGGUAUAACUGUGGUAAUUCUAGAGCUAAUACAUGCUUAAAAUCUCGACCCUUUGGAAGAGAUGUAUUUAUUAGAUAAAAAAUCAAUGUCUUCGGACUCUUUGAUGAUUCAUAAUAACUUUUCGAAUCGCAUGGCCUUGUGCUGGCGAUGGUUCAUUCAAAUUUCUGCCCUAUCAACUUUCGAUGGUAGGAUAGUGGCCUACCAUGGUUUCAACGGGUAACGGGGAAUAAGGGUUCGAUUCCGGAGAGGGAGCCUGAGAAACGGCUACCACAUCCAAGGAAGGCAGCAGGCGCGCAAAUUACCCAAUCCUAAUUCAGGGAGGUAGUGACAAUAAAUAACGAUACAGGGCCCAUUCGGGUCUUGUAAUUGGAAUGAGUACAAUGUAAAUACCUUAACGAGGAACAAUUGGAGGGCAAGUCUGGUGCCAGCAGCCGCGGUAAUUCCAGCUCCAAUAGCGUAUAUUAAAGUUGUUGCAGUUAAAAAGCUCGUAGUUGAACUUUGGGCCCGGUUGGCCGGUCCGAUUUUUUCGUGUACUGGAUUUCCAACGGGGCCUUUCCUUCUGGCUAACCUUGAGUCCUUGUGGCUCUUGGCGAACCAGGACUUUUACUUUGAAAAAAUUAGAGUGUUCAAAGCAGGCGUAUUGCUCGAAUAUAUUAGCAUGGAAUAAUAGAAUAGGACGUUUGGUUCUAUUUUGUUGGUUUCUAGGACCAUCGUAAUGAUUAAUAGGGACGGUCGGGGGCAUCAGUAUUCAAUUGUCAGAGGUGAAAUUCUUGGAUUUAUUGAAGACUAACUACUGCGAAAGCAUUUGCCAAGGACGUUUUCAUUAAUCAAGAACGAAAGUUAGGGGAUCGAAGAUGAUCAGAUACCGUCGUAGUCUUAACCAUAAACUAUGCCGACUAGGGAUCGGGUGGUGUUUUUUUAAUGACCCACUCGGCACCUUACGAGAAAUCAAAGU